AUUCUCUAUUUCUUCUUGAUUCAGUUUUGGAAGGCUGUAUGAUUCCAAGAAUUUAUCCAUUUUUUCUAGAUUAUCCAAUUUGUUGGCAUAUAGCUUUUCAUAGUAUUUUCUUAUACUCCUUUGUAUUUCUGUGGUGUUCAUUGUAAUUUCUCCUCUUUCUUCUGAUUUUAUUUAUUUGAGGCUUCCCUCUUUUUUUCUUGGUGAAUCUAGCUAAAGGUUUGUCAAUUUUAUCUUUCCAAAGAACCAGCUCUUGGUUUCGUUGAUUUUUUUUUGUUGGUUUUUUUAGUCUCUAUUUCAUUUAUUUCUGCUCUGACUUUUAUUAUUUCCCUCCUUCUACUGAUUUUGGGCUAUGUUGGUUUUUUUUUCCUAGUUCCUGUAAGUGUAUUGUUAGAUUUUUUAUUUGAGAUUUUUCUUGUUUUUUUGAGGUAGGUCUGUUUUGCUAUAAAUUUCGUCUUAGUAUCGCUUUUGCUGUAUCCCAUAAAUUUUGGUAGGUCAUAUUUUCAUUUUCAUUUGUCUCCAGGUAUUUUUAUCUUUCUCCUUUGAUUUUUUCAUUGACCCAAUAGUUGUUCAGUAGCAUUUUUUUUAGUGAACGUAUUUGUGGUGUUCCUGGUUUUCUUCUUGUGGCUGAUUUCUAGUUUCAUACUGUUGUGGUCAGAAAAGAUGCUUAUUAUUAUUUCAGUCUUCUUAAAUUUAUUGAGACUUCUUUUGUGGCCUAAUAUGUCAUCCAGCCUGGAGAAUGUUCCAGGUUCAUUCAAAAAGAAUGUGUAUUCUGCAGUUUUUGGUUGGAAUGUUCUGUGCAUAUCUACUAAGUCCAUCAUCUAAUGUGUUACUUAAGGCCAAUGUUUCCUUAUUGAUCUGUUUGGAUGAUCUAUCCAUUGAUGAAAGCGAAGUGUUAAAGUCUCCUACUAUUAUUGUGUUGCUGUCUAUUUCUCCUUUUAUGUCUGUUAAUAAUUGCCUUAUGUAUUUAGGUGCUCUUAUGUUGGGCACAUACAUACUUACAAGUGUUAUGUUGUCUUUUUGGAUUUUCCCCUUUAUCGUUGUAUAAUGCCUUUCCUUGUUUCUUAUUACAGUUUUUGUUUUAAAGUCUAUUUUGUCAGAUAUAAGUAUUGCUACCCCAGCUUUCUUUUUGUUUCCGUUUGCAUGGAGCACUCUUUUCCCAUCCCUUUACUUUCAGUUUCUCAAUGCCUUUAGGUCUGAAAUGUGUCUCUUGCGUGUAGCAUAUAUAUGGGUCUUGUUUUCUCAUCCAUUCAGCCACUGUAUGUCUUUUGAUUGGAGCAUUUAGUCUAUUUACAUUUAAAGUAGCUACUGAUAAGUAUCUUCUCAUUGCCAUUUUGUUACUUUUUUUCUGGAUGUUUUCUAGUUUCUCUCUGUUCCUUUCUUCUUAUGCUCUUCCCUUGUGGUUUGAUGGCCUUAUUUAGUGUUAUAUUUGAGUUCCUUUCUCUUUGUUUUUUGUGUAUUUACUGUAGGCUUUUGAUUUGUGAUUACCAUGAGGUUCUUAUAUUAUAACCUAUGUAAAUAGCAAUCUAUAUUAAGUUGAUAGUCUCCUAAGUUUGACUUCUUACUAAAAGCCCUGCACUUUUACUCCUCCGUCCACAUUUUAUGUUUUUGACAUAAUAUUUUACCUCUUUCAUUUUUUUGUAUCCCUUAACCUCUUAUGGAAAUAGAUAAUUUUAGUACUUUUGUGAUUUGUCUUUCAUACUAGCAUUAUAGGUGGUUUAUCUACUAUAUUUACUGUAUAUUUGCCUUUAUCAGUAAUGUUUUUUCUUUGAUAAUUUUUGUAUUCCUAUUUGUGGCCUUUUCUUUUCCACUUAAAGAAAUCCUUUUAACAUUUCUUGUAAGACCUCUUCAGUGGUGAUGAAUUCCUUUAGUUUUCACUUGUCUGGAAAACUGUUUCUCUCUCCUUCCAUUCUGAAUGAUAACCUUGCAUGUAGAGUAUUCUUGGCUGUAGGCUUUUUCCUUUCAGCAAGUUGAGUAUAUUAUGCCACUCCCUUCUAGACUGUAAGGUUUUUGCUGAGAAGUCAGCUGAUAGUCUUAUGGGGUUUCCUUUGUAUGUAACUUUUUGCUUUUAUGUUGCAGCUUUCAGGAUUCUCUUUAUCUUAAUUCCUGACCUUUUAAUUAUAAUGCGUCUUGGUGUGGGCCUCUUAGGAUUCAUCUUGUUUGAUGCUCUCUGUGCUUCCUCUACCUGGAUAUCUGUUUCCUUCCUCAGGUUAGGGGAGUUUUCAGGUAUUAUUUCUUCAAAUAGGUUCUCCGCCCCUUUGUCUCUCCCUUCUCCUUCUGGGACACCUAUAAUGUGGGUGUUAGUAUGCUUGAUGUUGUCCCAGAGGUCCCUUGGACUGUCUUCAUUUUUAAAAAUUCUUCUUUCUUUUUUUCUGUUUAGCUUGGUUGAUUUUCUCCACUCUUUCAUCCAGCUUACUGAUCUGUUCUUCUGCAUCAUCUACUCUGCUGUCGAUCUCCUUUAGUGAAUUUUUCUUUUCUAUUAUUGUAUUCUUAAGUUUCAAUUGGUUCCUUUUUAUGUUUUCUAGUUCUUUGUUGAAGUUCUCACUGUGUUCAUCUACUCUUCUCCCGAG
ensembl:lncRNA